GGGUGAUAAGUAUUGGAGUGGAAUGGAAAUUUCAGAAACAAAAAGAAUCUAACUGUGCUAGUGAUGUUGUAUUAAUUUAUGAUAUUAUUAUUUACAGGGCUGGAGUUUGCGCAUGCAUGUGUCCUUGCAUAGUUGUAUUUUAAGUUUUGGGUCUGCUUUAUUUAAUUGCUAAGUCUCUUUACUUGCAGUUAUCUCAAUCUACGCCUUUUCAA
rnacentral:misc_RNA from 1 species